CAGCUCCAUGCCAGGACCCAGGGCUCCAAAGCCAUUUCCAGGAUUUAGCACACAAAUGUCCAUAGAGCAUUUGCAAACAAGCAAUGAGAGCAGAGGUAUCCGGUGUAUCCCAACCACCCUCCUGCGGAUCCCCACGCCUCCCCUGCGCAUCCCAUGCGGGCAGCAGCACACAGGAGACCACAGGCUAAGCCUGAACCACAGGCAGACUCACCAGGCACGCCCCAUGGCCUGUGCUCAUGCCCUCAGGUGGUGACGAAAGGUAGGGGAAGCUCAGGCCGGGGAAGGUGUGGGGGGUGAGUGCUUCCUGCAGAAGCCCCUCCGGACUGCAGCACAGGUGGUCCCACCUGGUUGUAGGGCAGGUCACUCACUUCGGUGGCAGGGGACACAGCCAGUGGGGGGUUGCACGCCUUUAACCCUUAGUGAGAUGGAGAAGUAAUUCAUGGCCUAUCAAUCUUUUGACAAUUAAAUUAGAUGAGUACUUGGAAAGAUGCCUUUAUUUUCCCUUCCUCCCCCCCGCCUCCCUUUUAUGGCAGCAUUAAAACACUUUUCAUUUUAAAGCCUGGCCAGCAGGCAGUAGAUUCCAAGGCUCUGGUUAACUAGGAAUGCUUUGCUACAUUGAAAGGAAAGUUCAAAACCAAGCCCAAACUCCCUGCCCUCUUCUUUGUCUCUGAGGAUGGACGAGAGCGACGGGGCUGGCUGGGACGCAUCCAUAGGUGGCUGCGCACCUAGACGGUCCUGCUGAAGGAAGGCAAGGCACACAGAUCUCCAGCAGCCGCUGCCCCAAUUCCAUCCACAGGGUUAUUUCUAGGCUCCCACAUUCCAAGGACAUCCAAAACGCAGAGGGUGCACAUCGUUCUGCAGUGUCUGGGGUCACCUCACAGCCACCCUCUUUGUGACCACUUGAAGCCCAUUCACCAGGACUGUCUUUCUAAACUCCCUCCCAGGGCCUGCCUGGCUGUCCUCUGGGCACAGCUGGGCCACCAUCAUUAG
rnacentral:lncRNA from 1 species